rnacentral:misc_RNA from 1 species
GGCCGCUACACACAACACACCCGCUAAGGUACUAGUCCAAGUGGUGCCGGUGACUCGAGUGGACAGCGACACGCAGGGGUCUGAGGGUCUCUCUCUCUGUGUGUGCCAGCAUGCAGAUGCGCAAUACGGCCGUGCUACGCGCAGAGAUCAACCGCCUGCACUCGCGUUGGCCACACCACAACGACAAACACGGUCUCGGCUAGUGGGCACUGCAAAGGACGGAAGGGCACAUGUCAGUGACAGCAAGCAGCAGCCGGGGCUCUGGUGGGUCGGAGGAGGUCGAGGUCUGCGGUCGAGGCCGCGGCAUUCGAUGCAUUGACCUGCCCGCCGUCUUUUCUACUCCCCAAGAGUGUGAGAUGCUCUCCGUUAUUACUGCCUUUGACCUUUCUCGAAAUGAGCUGCAGGAGCUGACAAGCCUGCAGCCGCUCCGCUCCCUCACUCGCCUCAACGCGAGCUACAACCGCAUUUCCCUUGUCGGCGGGCUGCCGCUGAGCUUGACGCAGCUGAACCUCGCGCACAACAAACUCGAGCACCUCGACUGUGUCAGCCAACUCGUGCAUCUACGGGAGCUGGAUGUGAGCUUCAAUCGGCUCACGAGUCUCGCCGGCCUGCACUCGCGCGUUCCUCUGGAAGUGCUGCGCGCCGACGACAACCGCAUCGACCGCACAAGUGGCUUGAAGGAGCUGCGCUCCUUGCGUAUUGCGUCUUUGAGCAACAACUACGUUGAAGACGUGGAUGAGUUGCUGUUUGUGUCCACCACGCCGUCCCUGCAGCUGCUGAACUUGGUGGGCAACCCGGUCACCCGCGCACGGCGGUAUCGGCAAACCCUGGCCGAGCUGCAGCCAUCUCUCGUUUCGCUAGAUGGCGCGCCGCUGACGCGCGCCGUGGACUACGAGAACGCCGUGCAGACUUCUCGGGUAAGCAGCACUGGCGUCCCCCCGGCUGCAGCCCACACACCUUCGUCGUUGGCGACAACAAAGACGGCAAAGACAAGGUCGCAGCGUGCACUCACUCAAGGCCCGCACAACUCGGCGAGGGAACCGCUCGCGGCCGUGAAGGCGCCGACGACACACUCCGCAGCAAUAAUGAGCGUGUGCAGCAGCGUCAACUGCUCGCCGUCGCACCAAGGCCGCUGCGGCGGCGCCGCUCAGUCGGUCGCUGCGAACGCAUCCAUCGGUGUCUCAUCGAUUACUCUUGACAACUCCCCCAACGAGCGUCCUCGCGAACAGCCGCCGCAGCCGAUGAGGCGAGCCACUGCAAAUCCGACAACCGCAAACCCUCCUCAGCCUGCGAUGGCGGUGUCGCGUGCCGCACUGUCAGGGCCUAGGAGCGCUUGCGCAGAGCCGCGCCACAAUCACUCAAGGGCAGCAGAGUCACCGCGGCACCCUCUUGGAUCACCUGCCCGUGCGGAGGAGCGCACUGAGGGCACGGAUGACACCAACGGCGAUGUGCCGCCGGUAAUGGAGGACUCCUGUCGUGCUUGUCGGGUGGCGGACGCCUCUGUGCGCACUCCAGAGCAGGUCCAUCGGCAAGUCGGGUACGCCUCUCUGCACGCCACCCCUGCCACAGGCGGUGCAGCCGAACGCCUCCGCAGCGGUGGGCGAGUCCGUCCCUUCCCCUCGCCUGCCUCGCCGCAGCGCUGUGCGGCAUCGCAGCAGGACUUGGACUCCACGACCGCCCAGCUACAUGACAGCCUCGUGGCGAAGGAGCAGCUAGAGAAGGAGUGUCAGACGCUUCGGCGGGUGUGCAAGCGCGCAGAGGGACAGCUGGCUGAGGCCCGGCGCGUGAUCUCGCAGCAGCUGGCGGAGCUGUCGCAGCUGCGACUCGAGCGCGACGCCCUGCGAGAGAGCGAGGGAGCCAUGCUCGAGCGUCUCGAGAAAGAGAAGCGAUCGGGUCGCACGCGCGCCUCGCACCACAGCGACGAAGUGGCAACGCUACAGACACAGUACGAGCGCAUGAAGACCUUCUACGAAACCCAGCUCGCCGACACACGGCGCGAGCUGGCGGCGGAGCGGGCCCGUCUUCUGCGACUCAGCAACAGUGGCCGCUGCGGCGAGCGGAGAGCGGUGGCCACGGACCGUGCCGAUGUGGCAGAGAGAGGCCAAAGGUCGCCCUUGGCUGACGAGGGGCAGCGUGCGGCAGCACCAGCAGAAGAUGGGACGAGCGAACUCCCUGCGGCUGCCUCUGUGAAUCCCUUGCACUCUCUGUCGCCAGCGUCUCGCUCUGCUUCUUCGUCGCCUCCCAAGACGGGGGAUCAUGGGCCCGGCGGUGCGGCCCCUUCGAAGGACGCUGUAGCGCAGCAGCUCACCUCGUGGUUGUACGCGAGUCUCACAGGCGACGGGCACGCAGCUGAGCGCGACGAAAGCGUGGUUGCCACUGCUGUUGUGAGCGAGCUGCGCCGAACUCUUCUUCGCGAUCUGUCUGCAUCGACGGCGCGGGCACAAGCGGAUCAGGCGUCGCAGCCGCAGGAAUCGGCGGAUGUUGCCAAGGACAGCGUAGGAACGAGAGCCACGGUUGUGCGGCGUAUCCUUGAGACGUUUAUUUCCGAGCACAUCGAUCAGCUGACUGGACCCCCACAGCAGCUUGUCGACAGGCGCGCGCCUGCUCAACGCCCAGUCGUCGCGGCAGCUGCGGUGGAUGCAGCAACGCAAGUUGACGCAGGCGGUAGUGUUCCGUUGCAAGCACACGAGGCGGUGAAGCACAUCGAGGCUGGUGAGCCAGCUGUGGCGUGCCUCCUCCCUUCACGGCUCCCGUCAUCUCCUCGGUGCUCUUCAGCACUGCCUGCACACAUCUCGGCGGACAAGGACGACGACGAUGGCACCGAUACCGACACAGAGGGGACGGUGAUGAUCUCGCCGCCGGCGCCGUGCGCUGUCGCUGGCACCGACCAAAGCGUGGCGGUGACUGCUCUGCCUGCGCCUCCCCAGCUCCCUGCAUCGGCACACAACAAGCGCGUGAGCGCGGCGAAGGCUUUUCUGAAGGGGAUGGAGUCGCUGUUGGACAGCUAAACUGCGCCAUCGUGCGGGAUGCGGUGGACAGUCGGCAUGCGCCAGUUGAUUGUCCCGGCGAGGUCGAUGUGAUUGUGAAGCGCCGAAGAUGGUGCGCGCGCGGGCACUGGCGGUGUCUGGCGGCAGUCGUUUGGGCCGCGCGGAGGGGGUUAUCGAUGUGAGCAGAGAGGGCUUCUCCCCCGCACCACCGUCAUCGCCACGGUCCCUCCCUACGCGCAUGUGACUCUUUUGGGGCGGUGGCGCGUGUGGGGGGUGGUCCAUGUUGUGGUUGACGAGGGGAACACAUAGAAAGCAGUUGGAAGGAGAGAUGUGCAUCGCAGCAUAGUGCGAGAGCGAGCCAGCGCUGCGGAACCGCUGCUGCGUUGCAGGUUUCAAGAUAGAGCGCGGUGAUAUGGGAUCGCAUCGAUUGGCGGCGCUCACGGCCGCGGUUG